AGAGUUUGAUUAUGGCUCAGGAUGAACGCUGGCGGCGUGCCUAACACAUGCAAGUCGAGCGAUUACUUCGGUAAAGAGCGGCGGACGGGUGAGUAACGCGUGGGUAACCUGCCUCAUACACAUGGAUAACAUACCGAAAGGUAUGCUAAUACAGGAUAAUAUAAGAGAUUCACAUGGAUUUCUUAUCAGAGCUCCGGCGGUAUGAGAUGGACCCGCGUCUGAUUAGCUAGUUGGUAAGGUAAUGGCUUACCAAGGCGACGAUCAGUAGCCGACCUGAGAGGGUGAUCGGCCACAUUGGAACUGAGACACGGUCCAAACUCCUACGGGAGGCAGCAGUGGGGAAUAUUGCACAAUGGGCGAAAGCCUGAUGCAGCAACGCCGCGUGAGUGAUGAAGGCCUUCGGGUCGUAAAACUCUGUCCUCAAGGAAGAUAAUGACGGUACUUGAGGAGGAAGCCCCGGCUAACUACGUGCCAGCCGCCGC
rnacentral:rRNA from 1 species